CUGAAUUUAUCUUCUGAAACCCCAACCACAUCAGGAUUACCUGAGAAUGUAAUUUAGUGUUUGCUUGACAAGAUCAACUUGCAAAAAAGAGAUAUAGACAAGUCAUCUUGUUUUUUAUCCAGUAGAUUAGAACAAAAUAAUAUCCUAAGUGAUUAAUGUUUUCAAGGAAAUUCAGAGAAAAAAACACAACUUUUGAAAAAUGUCACGUAUUUUUUCUGUACUCCAGUUGGAGCCAAGUCUAUAAAUUUUUUUUCAGUUUGAACUUAGAUAUUUGAGAUUAAAAACAAUGGAUCGUUCAACCUACUGCUAGAUGGCUGAGCCCAGGCUCAUUUCUGUUCAGGGAACCACACCACCCAUCAUCAGUUGUCAUACUGUCAUGGCUGCCUGUUGCCAUGAUGCUGAAAGCUGUGCCACCAGUAUUUCAAAUACCACUAGGGUCACCCAUGGUGGACAAGUUUCAGCAGAGCUUCCAGAUGAAGACAAACCAGGAAGAAGGACCUCGCCACCUACUUCUGAAAAAUUUGCCGUGAAAACCCUAUGAAUAGCAGUGGAGGAUUGUCUGAUACAGUGCCGGAAGGUGAGAGGAUGGUGCAAAAAGGCCAGGCGGGGUUCCACUCUGCUGUACACAGAGUCACUAGGCGCUGGAAUACACUUAAG
rnacentral:lncRNA from 1 species